GCUUACGGCCACACCGCCUGGUUCACGCUUGAUCUCGGAAGCUAAGAUAGGUUGGGCCUGGUUAGUACUUGGAUGGGAGACCGCCUGGGAAUAACCAGGUGCUGUAAGCU
rnacentral:rRNA from 1 species